AGUCAGCUGACAGUCCUGACUUUAUAAACCCCCUGUUUGAAGGUGCUGAUUAUAUAGAUGGUCAACUGUGGGUGGCUAGAAACAGGGUUCUUAUUAACCUUAAUCUCUCACGGAAUGAGAUAGGCGAGACGGGCCUUGAGGCUCUACUGAAGGCCAUGCAGUAUCAGACAACAUUGUGUAUGGAAAACAAAAGUAGCGGAACUGGGCUUAUGAGAUUAUUAGUCGGGAAGAACAAGGUACGAUCCAGCCAUGAGUUACUACAGAAGAUAACAGAUAUCAUGUUACCUAAAGAUCCUUUCUAUAAACCACCACCACAGACCCCGGAUGUUACUGAGGCUUAAAUACAAAUACAGAUUUACAUAAUGUCACUUUUAACUUUAAUAUAGUUACAGCUCUUUAUUUGAUUGAUUUGAAAAAUAUUCUUUGAC